GACACUUGAUUAUAUUUUAGGUACAAAUUCGCCAAACUGUUGUAAAUGUAAUGAAAGCCUGAAGAAGGCAGUGAGUGAGAAGGAAGAUCGAAUCUGUUCCUCUUCUCGGUUCUUGCAGUUGAACAAAGUGAACAAGAUCAACAACAACAAGAAUGGGGUCAAUAGCGAAAAAGGGUCUGCAACAGUACUUGCUACAGCUUCAGCAACACCCUUUACGAACAAAGGUAGCACCUUUUUCCUCAUCUCUUGACCAAUCUUUUUCUUUUCCUUCAGUUUUUCUCUUUGAUUUGUGUAGUGGGUUUGGGCUAUUUUGAGUUUUUAGCUUAAUUGAUGAUGUGGGUCUUCUUUAAUUUCCUGUAAAGUUUCUAUCUUGGUAAAAAGAUCACACCUUUUUUUCCCUGUACUUUCUUGAUGUUUUUGCUAAAUUUGCUUAAGUUUAGCAGUAUUGGUACUGGGAUAUUCUUUGAUUGAUUGAAUCUUUGGAAAUACGUAUGAUGGCAGGCAAUAACUGCGGGAGUGUUGUCAGCGAUUAGUGAUAUAGUGGCUCAGAAGAUCACUGGCAUUCAGAAACUUCAAGUCAGACGUCUUCUCCUCAAAGUGGUACGAUUCCUCUUGCUUCCCUUUGCAUAGGUUUAUACUUUUACUACAAAAUAAUAUAUGGAGGUCAUUUUUGCAAAUUGUUAUGCACUCCCAUGGUUGCAUUUUAUCUAUCUGAGCUCGGGUACGUUGACUUUGAUAAUCUGAUGAAGC
rnacentral:lncRNA from 1 species